CCCCAUAGUCUGGGAUACCACUUGGAAACAGGUGCUAAUACCGGAUAAGAAAGCGGAUCGCAUGAUCAGCUUUUAAAAGGCGGCGUAAGCUGUCGCUAUGGGAUGGCCCCGCGGUGCAUUAGCUAGUUGGUAAGGUAAAUGCUUACCAAGGCGAUGAUGCAUAGCCGAGUUGAGAGACUGAUCGGCCACAUUGGGACUGAGACACGGCCCAAACUCCUACGGGAGGCAGCAGUC
rnacentral:rRNA from 1 species